AUAAGCAGGCGAAGGGAAAGUUUCUAACAUGCACACUGUGUACCUGCUGUAACUGUUGUCUGGAAGGGAGGGGUAAGGGUGAAAUAGACAAAGGCUUGCACAGAAACUGCUUGGAAUAUUUGUUUGUAUUUGUUGCACUGGAUUUGAGACAUGCUGGUCUCCUAGUGCCAUUUCAGAGCUCUGAAAUAAACUUGGCUUGCUUUCUCCCCUCGGUGUCUUUAUUGGUGCCAAGCACACCGGGCAACGAACCCCUGUUUGCCAUCUCGGGGCCCAGUUCUGGGCAGGCAACAGUUUUGGCGCCCAACAUGGGGCUCGAGGCUGAAAUUUAGCCUUGCCCGGAUCCCUCCUGGCAGCCGACGGCUUACAGCGACGACCGACGCCCAGCGCGCACCGGUGACUUCAUCGGGGGCCUCGGCGGAGACGUGGUUUGCUCGACCCCAGAGGGCACAACGGUGCAACACCCACAGACAGUGGAGAAGCAGCUGCGGGCGACGGUGGGGAACCGGUCCCAUGGAUAGGGCGACGGUGCAGAACCGGACCCUUGGAUAAGAUACACUAAAGAUUCACAGCCUUUUCUGCUGGAUACCCCGGUCCACUCCCUGCAGCCAGAUGACUCCGUUCUCGUGCGGACCUGGAAGGACGAGCCUCUCCAAGAGAAGUGGAAGGGCUUGUUUCCCACACAGCGGCAAAGGUCAAAGGACACAAGAACUGGAUUCAUCACUCUCGACUGAAAGCAGUGCCCAUUCCUAAACAGUGGACUGUCCAGCCUGCGGAGAAGACUGCUAACGACGAUUUGUUAGCAGAAUAAGCUGUUAUUCAAAAGACAGUAAGGGUCACUGGAAAUGCCUGGUGAUCUCUCUGAACAGCCACAGCGCACUCCCCGCAAGAACCCUGAGCAUUGGUUUUAUCUAUACCUGGUUUGCAGGCAUUAGUAAGUCUAGAUUUUAUAUUGGUCCUGGUAUAAGUUUCACUGUUCCUUUACUAAAUGCCACCGGUUGGCAAACCGGUGCUGCAUUCUUUGCCCUUUCCCACAAGCCACCUUACGGGAACUUACAAGGUAACAAUGGAAAGGCUAGUUAUGGUGAAGCAUUCUGGGUAUGUGGUAAUAGUGCCUAUAAAUGGCUCCCUCAUGGUUGGCAUGGUAGCUGUUACCAAGGCUAUCUCAUUCCUCCCCUCUGUGUUCUCACCAAGGCUCCCUCAGGUCGCCCUAGGUACUAUCGGUCCCUGAGAGCUACCAUUGAACCCAUCAGUGAAGGAGACAGAUUUGGGAUGAUAUCCCUCCCUUCCUAUGGAGUGGGACGGCUAACCCAACUCUACAGAAGACUGUCUAAAUUUCUCACUCAGUUUGCCAAUGAUACCCUGGCCAUAGAGAAACGCAUAAGUUCUGAGCUGUACCAGCUUCGACUGCUGGCUUUGCAAAACUGCCAGGCCCUAGAUUAUGUGUUAGCUUCACGGGGCAGGAUAUGUGCCCUUAUUGGAGAAGAAUGUUGUACCUAUGUCCCAGAGUUUUCACAGGAUAUUAAUAAGCAUAUCUUGUUGGCCGAACAAGCCUUGAAUCAGUGGAAGGCCCAGGAAGGGGAACCCACUAUUUUGGAUUCCCUUUGGGGUUGGAUACCUGGUUUAGGGGAACUAGGGGGUAGAGGGGGAAGCAUUGUUCGCAUCUUGCUCACAGGUGUUGUGAUAUGUUUUGUCCUUUUCCUUUUGCUCAUUUGCUGUAAAGUGCUCAUAUGUAAGAUUUGUACCUCCCCCUUCCCAGAAGUUCCCUUAUACCCUCUCAUUGAUAAUCCUGAUUACAUGGAGCUUAAUCGCAUUUUGUCUUUAGAGUAUGAGAAAACUCUGACAAAGGUUUGUUGAGUGUUCUCAAAGGAGGGAUUGUUGGUGUCACUAGGCAUAGCUACCAGGUAACUCAGGAGAGUGGAAGGCCAAAAGUGCCGAUGAAGCUCUUCUGCUCUGGGCCUACCUGAGCCACAGUGACUCCAUCUUGAGAACUUUCACCUACUUCUGUGCUAACUACUUACAUGCUGAAGCAGAAAUGUAAGGGUCAGCUUUUCUAGCAGACAGCUGUAGUUUUGUUCACACUAGCAAAACUUGUAGUGAUAAUGCGGGGGAAAAGGGGGAGGGAAAGACGGGGGAAAACUGCUAUAAACAGGCCUUGCAAGGCCAAGAGAUAAGCAGGCGAAGGGAAAGUUUCUAACAUGCACACUGUGUACCCGCUGUAACUGUUGUCUGGAAGGGAGAGGUAAGGGUGAAAUAGACAAAGGCUUGCACAGAAACUGCUUGGAAUAUAAAAGGGAAAAUUUGUUUGUAUUUGUUGCACUGGAUUUGAGACAUGCUGGUCUCCUAGUGCCAUUUCAGAGCUCUGAAAUAAACUUGGCUUGCUUUCU